rnacentral:rRNA from 1 species
UACAGAGGGUGCAAGCGUUGUUCGGAAUUAUUGGGCGUAAAGAGCGUGUAGGCGGCCAAGCAGGUCCGUUGUGAAAACUGGAGGCUUAACCUCCAGACGUCGACGGAAACCGCGUGGCUAGAGUCCGGAAGAGGAGAGUGGAAUUCCUGGUGUAGCGGUGAAAUGCGCAGAUAUCAGGAAGAACACCGAUGGCGAAGGCAGCUCUCUGGGACGGUACUGACGCUGAGACGCGAAAGCGUGGGGAGCGAACAGG